UUCGCAGUUCACUGACUACAGCAGUCUCCAGUCUGUUGAUUUGAUCUUGAUCACGGGCUGACGACUGACGGGCAUCACGGCAUUUUGUUUGUGUUUAAAAAGUUAUAAGUUGCAUCAAGUUUACUGAUUUUAUCCUACAUAGCUUCUUAAGCAGCAAACAAGAAAUGACGAAGAAGAGAUGGGCCAACAUUGAACAAAGCAAAAUAGAGAAAUCAGUUGCUUCAUGGCUGGCACAGACACAAUUAAAAUCAAAGACUUAGAAAGGGGCAGGAUGUCAAAGAGCACCUGAAGAACAGGAAGAUGAGGAUCAUGAAGCCGCCGACGCUUGAAUGAUGUGUAAAUAAUGUAUUGUCAGGGUGUCUACGAACCGGGAAAUCCGGGAAUGAACUUAUCUUUUUACUAAA